rnacentral:rRNA from 1 species
UGCCAGCCGCCGCGGUAAUACGGAGGGGGUUAGCGUUGUUCGGAAUUACUGGGCGUAAAGCGCGCGUAGGCGGAUUGGAAAGUUGGGGGUGAAAGCCCGGGGCUCAACCCCGGAAGUGCAUUGGAUACUGGCAGACUUGAGUACGGGAGAGGGAAGUGGAAUUCCGAGUGUAGGAGUGAAAUCCGUAGAUAUUCGGAGGAACACCGGUGGCGAAGGCGGCUUCCUGGACCGAUACUGACGCUGAGACGCGAAAGCGUGGGGAGCAAACAGGAUUAGAUA